CUACGGGUUGCUGCAGUGGGGAAUAUUGGGCAAUGGGCGCAAGCCUGACCCAGCAACGCCGCGUGAGGGAAGAAUGUCUUCGGAUUGUAAACCUCUGUCCUUGGGGACGAAAAAAAUGACGGUACCCAAGGAGGAAGCUCCGGCUAACUACGUGCCAGCAGCCGCGGUAAUACGUAGGGAGCAAGCGUUGUCCGGAAUUAUUGGGCGUAAAGGGUGCGUAGGCGGCAAUACAAGUCAGAUGUGAAAUCCCCGGGCUUAACUCGGGUAUUGCAUUUGAAACUGUAUAGCUUGAGUAAAGAAGAGGUAAGUGGAAUUCCUAGUGUAGCGGUGGAAUGCGUAGAUAUUAGGAGGAACACCAGUGGCGAAGGCGACUUACUGGUCUUUUACUGACGCUGAGGCACGAAAGCGUGGGGAGCAAACAGGAUUAGAUACCCUCGUAGUC
rnacentral:rRNA from 1 species